GCUGGGCGUAGUGGCGGGCGCCUGUAGUCCCAGCUACUUGGGAGGCUGAGGCAGGAGAAUGGCGUGAACCCGGGAAGUGGAGCAUGCAGUGGGCGAGAUCGCGCCACUGCACUUCCAGCCUGGGUGACAGAGCAAGACUCUGCCUCAA
rnacentral:SRP_RNA from 1 species